rnacentral:rRNA from 1 species
AUUGAACGCUGGCGGCAUGCCUUACACAUGCAAGUCGAACGGCAGCGGGGGAGAAGCUUGCUUUUCCUGCCGGCGAGUGGCGAACGGGUGAGUAAUACAUCGGAACGUGCCCUGUAGUGGGGGAUAACUAGUCGAAAGAUUAGCUAAUACCGCAUACGACCUGAGGGUGAAAGUGGGGGACCGCAAGGCCUCAUGCUAUAGGAGCGGCCGAUGUCUGAUUAGCUAGUUGGUGGGGUAAAGGCCUACCAAGGCGACGAUCAGUAGCUGGUCUGGGAGGACGAUCAGCCACACUGGGACUGAGACACGGCCAAGACUCCUACGGGAGGCAGCAGUGGGGAAUUUUGGACAAUGGGCGAAAGCCUGAUCCAGCAAUGCCGCGUGUGUGAAGAAGGCCUUCGGGUUGUAAAGCACUUUUUUCCGGAAAGAAAUGGCUCUGGUUAAUACCUGGGGUCGAUGACGGUACCGGAAGAAUAAGGACCGGCUAACUACGUGCCAGCCGCCGCCGUAA